rnacentral:lncRNA from 1 species
GGAAGAGAGAGAGGAAGGGACCUUUUGACAGACGAACGAAAGCAUUGCAUUGGAGAAGAUAGUGAAUACGGCGGAUUUGAAGACGGCGAGAUUCAAGGGUAUCAACCAUUGAAGACCAAACUCUCCUAAUUCUUUGUAAUGUCUAAUCUUUACUUUAUGAGCUCUUUAAGUAAUAUGAGAGGCUAAACCCCCUGAUGCUAGGGGGUGGUCCUGAUGUUAUCGCAUGUUAUGAAUUUGAACUAAUGAUUUCUUGAUUACUAUGUUACGUAUUUCAAUUCAAUUGUGUGAUUUUAUU